UCUAUGUCCUCCGUUUGGCUUGGGGAUCUAUAGUAAACUCCCACAAUGAGGUCUCUGUUAUUCUUCUCUCCCUUAAUUUUGACCCAAAUGCUCUCACUUUGGCUUUGAGGUUCUAAAUCUUGGAUCUCUUCACAGGUAUACACAUCCCUGACAUAUAACGCCACUCCUCCUCCUUUCUUGUCUGGUCUGUUUCUCUGAAAUAGAUUGGAUCCCUCCAUUAUUACAUUCCAAUCGUGGGACUUAUCCCACCAGGUUUCAGUGAUGCCUAUUAUGUCAUAUUUAGUUUGCUGUACCAAGAGCUCAAGCUCAUCUUGUUUAUUUCCCAUGCUUUGCGCAUUAGUGUACAGACAUUGAAGUCCAUUAAUCAUUCCCCGUGUCUCUUAUUUAAGGAUUUUUCCUCCCACCACUAGGUCUGCGUGCUGUUUGCUCCAUUUGGUCUAUGACAUUUGGAUGAUCAUCUUCAUCAAUUGAUAGACUCCUACCUUCAGGAGCACUGUCUCCCUCCCCCACAUUAGUCAGUUUAAAGCCCUCCUGA